UAUAGCAUAGAGUUAAUGCACUGUAUCCCAUUAGAACUUCGUAGUUAAGUGCACUCAGGCUAGAGUAGUACUGGGAUGGGUGGCCUCUCGGGAAGUCCUAGUGUUUUAC
rnacentral:rRNA from 1 species